GCAUAUCAAUAAGCGGAGGAAAAGAAACCAACAGGGAUUGCCCUAGUAACGGCGAGUGAAGCGGCAACAGCUCAAAUUUGAAAUCUGGCGUCUUUGGCGUCCGAGUUGUAAUUUGCAGAGGGCGCUUUGGCAUUGGCAGCGGUCCAAGUUCCUUGGAACAGGACGUCACAGAGGGUGAGAAUCCCGUACGUGGUCGCUAGCCUUUACCGUGUAAAGCCCCUUCGACGAGUCGAGUUGUUUGGGAAUGCAGCUCUAAAUGGGAGGUAAAUUUCUUCUAAAGCUAAAUACUGGCCAGAGACCGAUAGCGCACAAGUAGAGUGAUCGAAAGAUGAAAAGCACUUUGGAAAGAGAGUUAAAAAGCACGUGAAAUUGUUGAAAGGGAAGCGCUUGCAGCCAGACUUGCCUGUAGUUGCUCAUCUAGGUUUCUACCUAGUGCACUCUUCUAUAGGCAGGCCAGCAUCAGUUUGGGCGGUUGGAUAAAGGUCUCUGUCAUGUACCUCUCUUCGGGGAGAACUUAUAGGGGAGACGACAUGCAACCAGCCUGGACUGAGGUCCGCGCAUCUGCUAGGAUGCUGGCGUAAUGGCUGUAAGCGGCCCGUCUUGAAACACGGACCAAGGAGUCUAACAUCUAUGCGAGUGUUUGGGUGUCAAGCCCGAGCGCGUAAUGAAAGUGAACGGAGGUGGGAACCUUUCGGGGUGCACCAUCGACCGAUCCUGAUGUCUUCGGAUGGAUUUGAGUAAGAGCAUAGCUGUUGGGACCCGAAAGAUGGUGAACUAUGCUUGAAUAGGGUGAAGCCAGAGGAAACUCUGGUGGAGGCUCGCAGCGGUUCUGACGUGCAAAUCGAUCGUCAAAUUUGGGCAUAGGGGCGAAAGACUAAUCGAACUAUCUAGUAGCUGGUUCUGCGA
rnacentral:rRNA from 1 species